rnacentral:rRNA from 1 species
UACGUAGGGUGCGAGCGUUGUCCGGAAUUAUUGGGCGUAAAGAGCUUGUAGGCGGUUUGUCGCGUCUGCCGUGAAAAUCCGGGGCUCAACCCCGGACUUGCGGUGGGUACGGGCAGACUAGAGUGUGGUAGGGGAGACUGGAAUUCCUGGUGUAGCGGUGAAAUGCGCAGAUAUCAGGAGGAACACCGGUGGCGAAGGCGGGGUCUCUGGGCAGUAACUGACGCUGAGGAGCGAAAGCGUGGGGAGCGAACAGG